rnacentral:rRNA from 1 species
UACGGGGGGGCAAGCGUUGUUCGGAAUUACUGGGCGUAAAGGGCUCGUAGGCGGCCAACUAAGUCAGACGUGAAAUCCCUCGGCUUAACCGGGGAACUGCGUCUGAUACUGGAUGGCUUGAGUUUGGGAGAGGGAUGCGGAAUUCCAGAUGUAGCGGUGAAAUGCGUAGAUAUCUGGAGGAACACCGGUGGCGAAGGCGGCAUCCUGGACCAACACUGACGCUGAGUGAGCGAAAGCCAGGGGAGCAAACGGG